rnacentral:tRNA from 3 species
GCCCGGAUAGCUCAGUCGGUAGAGCGGGGGAUUGAAAAUCCCCGUGUCCUUGGUUCGAUUCCGAGUCCGGGCACCA